CUUUCACACGCAAUUUCUGGUGAUGAUCCGAUGGUGCGGCACCAGAGCUUGGGCAGUGGCGCUCAAAUGGAGGAAGCUAGGUGGGCGGUGUCCACGGGCUGGAGGUGAUCGAUCAGAAGCCGUCGACGAAGCACUUAAAGCGAAACAUGAUGCUAUCAGUUACUCAGAGCACAUCUGUGUCUUAACCCAAGCCAAGGAAAGUCAAAUUAGGUACCAGGUAGUGCAAUUACAAGUUUGUACCAUGGCUGUGUCAAGAAACCUGAUUAAACAGGUGAUGCUCCCGCACCACUGGUGGGUGCAAUGAGCCACCCCUCCCCUGUCAUUGGGAUCUUUCAUCCAACGAGGCUGAGGUGUCCAUAAGCUUUUACUUUAGAUUUUUGGUGUAGUUGAAAUUAAUUUGGAUGCACACGGGGUUUGUAUUAUGUUGGAAUGCAUUCAGCAUGCUUUUAUCACAGAAUUUUCAGUUUCUUUGCAUUUUCACUGAACUAUUACAUUAAUCACUGAUUUGUAGAUAUCUGAAGAGAUUGUAGGAUUUAUGUUUUAAUCUUUGGAAGCUCAGCAAGUCCUUAUUUUCUAUUGCUGUACCUAUUGCAUUAAUAACCAUGUCAUUGACUAAUCCUGCAACAAGAUUGAAUCCAUUGAAUUGAAACCAAUUUAAUUCUCUAUUCAAAGGAAUUCAAUCUUCCCUUAGUAAUGAUUGAAUCCUCUAAUUUAUGUAAUUAUUAUUACACCAAAAAAUAGAUAGGGUGCAUAAAAAUAUUCUUUCAAAUUUGGGAUAGCCAAUCACAUUUAUUCAUUGGCAGCUGAAGUCUAUUUUUCUUGAGAUAAAAGUGGAUAGCAGGCUGAAAAGCGACCCCUGAGGACCUCUACUGGUAGACAUUGGAAUAUGCACAACAGCCUUGGUAAAGUCCGUCCAUCCAGUUUCUUAGCCGCUUAUCCUCAUGGGUCGUGGGGAGGGUUAGGGUUAGGGUUAUCACAGCUGUCAACAGGCAGGAGGUGGGGUACACCCUGAACUGGUUGCCAGCCAAUCGCAGGGCACAUAGAGACAAACAUUCACACUCACAAUCAUACCUAGGGGCAAUUUAGAGUGUCCAAUUUGUGUUGCAUGUUUUUGGGUUGUGGGAGGAAACCGGAGUGCCCGGAGAAAACCCACGCAGGCACGGGGAGAACAUACAAACUCCACACAGGUGGGGACGGGAUCGAACCCGGGUCCUCAGAACUGAGGCCAACGCGUGACAAACUGAUCCACCGUGCCGCCAUGCAUUGGUAAAGUAUUAAUUUUAAUGACAAUCCUGCCAAAAUCGAAAGGAUAACUGGUUCAUCGCUAAUCAACGUGUCUAAUGUUUUGAGUUACCUGGUUCUAAUUGAUGUCAUAACUUCCUUUGGUUCCUUACCAUAUUUACCACAAAACAAUUUAUUAACCUCAUAUUCCAUCUGUAAUCCUAUUUUUGUUUCAUUUCUGAGGGAACAAUAGUCAUUUUCUCGGAGGUGUUGGUUCAGUUAAAACAACAUUGAUAUCUAGUGCAUAUUUAGUUGAUUACCUGAAACUUACUGAAGAUGUGUACUGUAUUUUGCUGUUGCACUUUUGCAUUUAGAGGACGCCCCGUAGCUCAAUGGCUAGAGCACUGUUUUGGUAAACCAGGGGUUGUGGGUUCGUAUCCCACUGGGGCCUCCACUCCCUGAGAAGGGUUGCGUCAGGAAGGGCGUCCGGCGUAAAAAAAUUGUGCCAAACAUAUAUGCUUUAAUCUGAGAUAAGAUGUGGCGACGCCGAAAGGAAAACAACAACUCUUGCAUUUAGAAGGGGAACUCUGGCCUACACAAGAUUACCAUCUCAAUGGUCCCAAUCCAGUCACAUGCAAAACAGAUUUUAUGAACUGGGUGAAAGGUUUGAUACUCGAGAAAGGUUAAUUGUCAUAUGAUAUUACAACGUUAAGAAAGUUUAGGGGGGAAAAAACUUCCAUAAACACCUUUAGUCUGGAUAAAAAUAUUGUUGGCCUGAAUAGUUUCCAUACGCUACAUAGAUGAAGUGGCAAGCAAAGUUGUAUAAGCGUCUUUGGAGUCAGACAGUGAAGAUAUUUUUACAACAAUGAAAACUUUAAAAUGCCGAAAUGAAGUCAGGGACAUGAACCCAUUGAUUUCUGACUCCAACUGCUGAGAUGAGCAACCAAUAAAGGGAACCAAUAAAAAAAAAGACAUGACCUGGCUACCAACAUUUAUGGAUAUACAUUUUUUUCAGCUUUUUUUGAUAAUUACAAUGAGGGAAAAAAAACACCAGAA